ACCCGCCAGCCCCGCGCUCUACCAGGCAGAGCGCGUGUGGCCGCCGAGCACAUGGACCCACUGGUCAAGCGGGCUCGGCAAGGCCAGGAUGAAGAGAAGCUACGAACUUAGCAUUCCCAGAGCCCCCCGAGUGGAUAUCCGCGUGGAAAGGAUGUUGGCAGCCCCGGUGACCUCGGAGUCACGGCUGGAUCCACCCUCUUGUCUGAUUUUCUUAACUCUACUACGGUAAGAAGAUGCCCUCCAUCAGCAGGCCGUGUCUGCUGGGACCUCUCUGGAGACUUCCUGAACCCUGUGGAUUUACAGUAAGAUGCAGUUUCCUGGGGAGUAAUUCUGGUGGAUACAAAUUCCGGAGUAUUACACCUGGCUUGCCUGGAGAUGUUACAAGUAGCUGGAUGGAUUCUUCAGCCUGGAUGCCCACUGAAAACAAGGACCGAAACUAAGAGGAUUGUAUCUCUACCCUUGACUCAAUGAGAAUGUUUGUUGUCAUCUCUCGGGCUACCUGGAGCUCCCUCUAAAAUUAUACCCUUUAAGCGUUCCAGAAGGAUUUUGAGAUCCUUUCCUAAAUCAAAGGUGGAAUAUUUGGGGAUUUGGAAAAUUGAGAUGUGAAGCGUUGACUUAAGAGAUGCCAAGUAACUCAGCAGAUGUCACACAGACGAUAAAUAGCAAAGAUGGAAGUCUUCAUGCCGGAGGCAAUCCUAUAAGACAGCUGAGUUCUGCAGAGCUGGAGACAGACUUGCUCAGGUGAUAGAUCCAGCCAUGAUACUGACCCUAAGAGAAUGAGACGCUCUGCAGAAGACAGAAGAUUCCUGAAACUGGGAAAGGUGCCUAGAAAUCCUGAUAAGAGUGAAGAAGGGUACCUGGAGGCACAGCAGCCAUGUUGAACCUAUGAGGUGAUGAAAAACCAUGCAACUAGAAACCAGAAUGGAAGAAAAGAAGAAGCUGGAUCCUUGACUGAAUUGUCGAUGGGGGAUAGUCCAUCAUCCCAGGGCUAAGACCACCUCCAGAUUUCUUGUUUGGUGAAACAAGUCCUGAUUGUUUACAUUCCCUCGUGUUGAGCUGUCUCUUGCUUGUAGCUGAAAGCAUUUCUAAUAGAUAUUCAGAUUAUCAGCCUUAGCUCCAAGCUAGAAUACUCUAUGGGACCUUAGCUUCUCCAUGAAUUCCUUUGCUCAUCUGUGUAAUGCUCAAUAAAUGUAAAUUGAACCCUGAAUGAGGGACAAUGACACUA
rnacentral:lncRNA from 1 species